ensembl:lncRNA
CUUUCGUUCUGCACCUGAGCAAGUCAGUUAACCCAUUGUUCCCCGGGUGCCGAUGACAUGGAUGUCGAUUAAGGCAGCGCCCCCACACCUCUCUGAUUCAGAGGGGUUGGGUUAAACACAGAAGACACAUUUCAUUUGAAGGCAUUCAGUUGUACAACUGACUAGGUAUCCCCCUUUCCCUUUCCUUCAUCCCUCUCUCCCUCUGUCCCCCCUCCUUCAGAUCCGUUGAGCAUGACGACACUGAUAGCCGGAGUUGUAGGCCUCUUCCUGCUCAUCCUCAUAUGCUGCCUGGAUGUGUGUCUCCCAUUGACAGGGCUGCUGAAAAAAGGUUUCUUCACAGAUCACCUACUGUAGCAACCAGACCAGGCGCCAUGCUGGAAGACCAGUCAGUCUGUUGGAAGUCCUCCAAUCGUCCACAUGACUUUUUGCUACCACCAGAAACUUUGAAGAUUACCCAGAAAACGGCGGCAGUGGAAGAAGUAAAUAUAUUUAGAAAAUGAUAGCUACAGGAACUUUGUGUGCAGGCUAAUUCAAAUGAGCUGCUGAUAUAAUGUAUGAUGUAGAGAAAUUCUGAAAACUAAAUGUUAAACAAUAAAACAAUCUGUUGGUUUAUAUUAGUUUUGCUUUCCGUUAUUUAGAUCGAUAAAUGUUCAUGUUUGAAUUAUUAAGUAUUUCGUUCUAGGCUAUUACGUUUCAUAUCUGACUAAUUAAACUAACUGUUCUAGUUUUUGGUUCCCGAGUGCCCCGCCUCAGGCUGACGCAUCAGCUGAGAUGGCGUCAAUUAGAGGUUAGUAACAAUCACGCCUACCUUAUUGGCGGUCUAUUCAAGCUGACCAGGUCUCCUCACUCAUUUAGCUACUGCUUUCUGUUACUGCUACUGCUACUGCAGCCACCACCUGUUAGGUUCUAUGUUCCUGUCAGGCCUUUUUGAGUUUGAGAAAAGGGUAUUUGAGGGUAUUUUGUCCUAAAGCUCAUCCACUGUAAUUGGAGAAUUCAAUGGGUUCUGGUAGUCUUUAAUAGCUGGUUCUAAGUUUAGUAAAUUAUCAUGUAUAUUUUUUACUAUUUUCUACAUCAUAGAAUAAUAGUGAAGACAUCAAAACUAUGAAAUAACACAUAUGGAAUCAUGUAGUAACCAAUAAAGAUUUUAGAAUCUUCAAAGUAGCCACCCUUCACCUUGGUGACAGC